rnacentral:rRNA from 1 species
GUCGAACGCUGGCGGCGUGCUUAACACAUGCAAGUCGAACGGUAAGGCCCUUCGGGGUACACGAGUGGCGAACGGGUGAGUAACACGUGGGUGAUCUGCCCUGCACUUCGGGAUAAGCCUGGGAAACUGGGUCUAAUACCGGAUAGGACCACUGCCUGCAUGGGUGGUGGUGGAAAGCUUUUGCGGUGUGGGAUGGGCCCGCGGCCUAUCAGCUUGUUGGUGGGGUGAUGGCCUACCAAGGCGACGACAGGUAGCCGGCCUGAGAGGGUGACCGGCCACACUGGGACUGAGAUACGGCCCAGACUCCUACGGGAGGCAGCAGUGGGGAAUAUUGCACAAUGGGCGCAAGCCUGAUGCAGCGACGCCGCGUGAGGGAUGACGGCCUUCGGGUUGUAAACCUCUUUCAGCUAUGACGAAGCGCAAGUGACGGUAGUAGCAGAAGAAGGACCGGCCAACUACGUGCCAGCAGCCGCGGUAA